UUAAACUGGGAGUUCUAUCACUAGAAUUAGUAAGUCAGAGCAGCUGGGUGAGUCUCAGAGACAGAAACAACUGAUUAUUUAUUUAGUAUCAAAACAUUGCAUAAAUAAAUAAGUAUAAAACUGAUAAAGGGAGCAGAGGCAGCUAAAUAAUUUUAGACUGAUGUUGAGCACCGACCCCCCCCCCCCCCAGGUCAAAAUUAAUAAAGACAAUACCCUGACACAGACAACAAUGGACAUGGGCGCCAUGGGUGUCUGACACACCCUGAUGGGUCACUCACAAUACAAGCCCAUAAUCAUCAGGGACCUGAUGGCCCUGCUUUGUUCAUCUCAAAAGAGAGACAAUGUGAUUCAUUCAUAAAACUAUGUAUUCUUUGUCUAAAUCGUCAUCCAGCACCCUGUCAGCCAUUGGAGAGUGUGGACCACCCUCUAAUUGGCUGUCGGGUUCCACAGUUCCGCCUCACAGAGGGAAUCCUCCCAGCUGGUUGUGAUGCCAAGACCGGCUCCGCCAAUCAGCAUGAAGCCAGCCCCAGCUGAACGUGAACAGGAAAAACAAAAGACCCUACUGUAUAAAAAUGUCUGUUUUAUGAUUGUCGAACAUGUCCACUUCUUUGAGCGGUGUACCACUUGCUGACAUCACUUCUGGAUGGAUUAAAUAAAAUACCUCAGUGGCUUCUGCUUCAACUGGUGGAGGUGGUCACCUAAGAGGAGUUUUAACAUUAAAGAGGGAGGUAAGAGCAAGAAACUAACAGGAACGAACAGGAGCCUGGCAUGGGAGAGAAAAAGGCACCGCCGGCCAUUAGAACUGGCGUUCUUACAAAGAAGCCUAUUCUGUCUAUUACAUCUGGCUGCCGAACUGCCCUAAGGGACUAUAAGAACUGUCCUUGUCCCCCAUACCUCAUUGGAAGAGCAUUCUGGGGUCAAGUUUAGAACCGUGGGCCUGUGUGGCCCUCUACCAGAAACCUGGAUAAAAACUUCACCAUUGGUUGCUGGCUCAUUUUAAUGCUGCUUGGAGCUAGGGCCCUACUCCUUUGUGUUGCCGGCUCAACUGGGGGACCUCGCUGUCGACUGCUGGCUCGCCAGGGCUGUUGCUUCUUGCCGUUGGUCUGUUCUGGGGAGUCUUGCCGCCAGCUGCCAGCCUGCCUGGGUACUGCGGGUACUGGGGGGGCUCGGAGCUAUUGCUCCUCCUUGCCCUUCUCGCUGCUCCUCGCCGUCGGCCUGUCCUGGAGGAGGCCUCACCUGAUGCCGCUGGGGUUUGGAACUGUGGCCCCUUCCUGCUGUCGGUUUGCCCCUGGAGUUGCUGGCCACCUAUUGGACUUUCCACCAAGGCUGAACAUCAUGAAGUGCCUGCGUCAUCUGCUGUAGUAGCGACACUGUGCCCGAGGCCAUACAGUGGUGUUGAAGAGUCCCUACUGGCCUUUACCAACUUACCAUCGUUGGUGUGGGUAUACUACUGUUAUUGGUUUGGAACUACCAUUUGUCAUCAUUGGCUGGGAAUUACCAUCGCCCACUACCCACACCAGACUGAGGGCCAAUUUCCAUCUUUUGGACUCUGCCAUUGUGGUGUGUCAUCUCACUUACUGUCUAUGAAAACUGGGCUAGAAUAUUUCCUUGAACAUUUCCUAUUCCACCUAAUCCACCUGGUGACUUGUCUCAUCCAGAAGUGUGCAGUAACCAUCUUAUUGACUAACCCCUCGACUAAGCACUUUAUUCUGCUGCUGUUAUUUAGUGUUUAAUAUUAUAUUAUGAAUUUUA